GGUUCGAUCAUGGCUCAGAUUGAACGCUGGAGUGGAUGCUUUACACACGCAAGUCGAACGGCAGCACGGACUCCUGGUCUGGUGGCGAGUGGCGAACGGGUGAGAGUAAUGCAUCGGAACGUGCUCAUAGCGGGGGAUAACUACGCCGAAAGCGCGCUAAUACCGCAUACGCCCUCGGGAAAGCGGGGACCUUCGGCCUCGCACUAUUAGAGCGGCCGAUAUCGGAUUAGCCAGUUGGUGGGGUAACGUCACCAAGGCGACGAUCCGUAGCUGGUUUGAGAGGACGACUCAGCCACACUGGGACUGAGACACGGCCUGACUCCACGGGAGGGCAGCAGUGGGGAAUUUUGACAAAUUAAAACCCUGAUCCAGCCAUCCUAUGUGCGAUGAAGGCCUUCGGGUUGUAAAGACCUUGCAGGAAGAAACGGCACGGGAUAAUACCGUGUAACUGACGGUACCUGCAGAAUAAGCACCGGCUAACUACGUGCCACAGCCGCGGUAAUACGUAGGGGUGCAAGCGUUACACCGGAAUUACUGGCGUAAAGCGUGCGCAGGCGGUUCGGAAAGAAAGAUGUGAAAUCCCAGAGCUUAACUUUGGAACUGGCUUAACUACCGAGCUGGAGUGUGUCAGAGGGAGGUAAUCGCAGUGAAAUGCGUAGAUAUGCGGAGGAACACCGAUGGCGUAAGGUAGCCUCCCGAAGUAACACUGACGCUCAUGCACGAAAGCGUGGGAGCAAAACAGGAUCAUACUCCUGGUGUAGUCCACGCCCUGUAAACGAUGUCAACUAGCUGUUGGGGCCUUUCGGGCUAGAAGGUACAGCUAACGCGUGAAGUUGACCGCCUGUGAGUACGGUCGCAAGAUUAAAACUCAGCUAAUUGAUUUGGUGACCAACAAGCGGUGGGGAUGAUGAUUAAUUCGAUGCAACGCGAAAAACCUUACCUACCCUGACAUGUUCAACUUUGAAGAGAUUUGGGAGCGUUUCGUAGAAUCAGAACACAGGUGCCGUACGGCUGUCGUCAGCUGGUGUCGUGAGAUGUUGGGUUAAGUCCCGCAACGAGCGCAACCCGUCAUUAGUUGCUACGAAAGGCACCUAAUGAGACUGCCGGUGACAAACCGGAGGAAGGUGGGGCUGACGUCAAGUCCUCAUGGCCCUUGCGGUAGGGCUUCACACGUCAUACAAUGGUCGGGACAGAGGGUCGCCAACCCGCGAGGGGGAGCCAAUCCCAGAAACUGGAUUUCCAGUCCGGAUCGCAGUCUGCAACUCGACUGCGUGAAGUCGAAUCGCCAGUGCACCUGUGGAUCAGCAUGCGGUGAAUACGUUCUGGGUCUUGCAUACACCGCCCGUCACACCAUGGGAGUGGGUUUUACCGAAGUAGUUAGCCUAACCGUAUGGAGGGCGAUUACUACGGUAGGAUUCAUGACUGGGGUGAAGUCGUAACAAGGUAAC
rnacentral:rRNA from 1 species